GACGAAGGUGGCAAGCGUUGUUCGGAAUCACUGGGCAUAAAGCGCGCGUAGGCGGCCAAGUAAGUCAGGUGUGAAAUACCUCGGCUCAACCGAGGAACUGCGCCUGAUACUGUUUGGCUUGAGGGUUGGAGGGGAGAGUGGAAUUCCCGGUGGAGCGGUGAAAUGCGUAGAGAUCGGGAAGAACGCCGGCGGCGAAAGCGACUCUCUGGCUCGUAUCUGACGCUGAGGCGCGAAAGCUUGGGUAGCAAACGGG
rnacentral:rRNA from 1 species